GGAAUGAGCUAUACCUUGCUGCGUGCCACCAGAAUGUGCUAUGAUGAAUUCUCUCCAAGAUCAGGGACCACCUUCAAGCAGUCCUGAAAAAUGACACCCAAAACCAGUAAAAAAUGGAGGGGAGAAAAGAUCUCCUGGUGUACCAGCCCUGGAAGGACCAACCUGUGAUCUCACUCCUGGAUGACUCUGCAAAGAAAAAUUCCGUAGGCACAGCUUGGUUUAGGAGUCAAGGAGCCAGCUUUAAUCUAAGGGAUCCAAGAGUUGGACAGAGAGGACUGUCAAAAGCAUGGAGAACACCCCGUAGAAGAUCAUUCUUGAAGGAAGCCACAUGUGUCCGGCAUCUGUUUGCCAUCUCUGUGGUGACUGGCUUUAAUGAGUUCUAA
rnacentral:lncRNA from 1 species